rnacentral:tRNA from 1 species
GGGAAUGUAGCUCAGUGGUAGAGUGCUUGCUUAGCAUGCACAAGAUCCUGAGUUCAAUCCCCAGUACCACCA